GAUGAACGCUAGCUACAGGCUUAACACAUGCAAGUCGAGGGACCGGCGCACGGGUGAGUAACACGUACCCAACCUGCCCUUUACUCGGGGAUAGCCUUUCGCAAGAAAGAUUAAUACCCGACACAAAGGAUGGGGAUGCGUUCCAUUAGGUUGUUGGUGAGGUAACGGCUAACCAAGCCUUCGCUGGAUAGGGGUUAUGAGAGGAAGGUCCCCGACAUUGGAACUGAGACACGGUCCAAGCUCGUACGGGGAGCAGCAGUGAGGAAUAUUGGUCAGUGGGCGCUAGCCUGACCCAGCCAAGUAGCGUGAAGGAUGAAGGCUUAUGGGUCGUAGACUUCUUUUAUAUAAGGAUAUGUAUUAUAUGAAUAAGGAUCGGCUAACUCCGUGUCAGCAGCCGCGGUAAUUC
rnacentral:rRNA from 1 species